GGUACACAUUGUUAGAGCCUGGAGUUGAGGCCACUGACUGGCCGAUGAGCUCACAAGUCUUGGUAGUGUGCUACAUGAGGUGCAAGGGUCUUUGGCCCAAUGAGUGGAGUUUGAUAGUAAUCCUCACUACAAGU